CCCUUAGAUGUCCUGGGCCGCACGCGCGCUACACUGAUGCAUUCAACGAGUUUUACCUUGGCCGAGAGGCCUGGGCAAUCUUUUAAACCUGCAUCGUGAUAGGGAUAGAUUAUUGCAAUUAUCAAUCUUGAACGAGGAAUUCCUAGUAAACGCAAAUCAUCAAUUUGCAUUGAUUACGUCCCUGCCCUUUGUACACACCGCCCGUCGCACCUACCGAUUGAAUGAUCCGGUGAAGCCUCGGGAUUGUGGCCAGUUCACUUUAUUGGGAGUUGGCUGUGAGAACUUGUCUAAACCUUAUCGUUUUAGAGGAAGGUGAANUCGUANCA
rnacentral:rRNA from 1 species